GAUGAACGCUGGCGGCGUGCCUAAUACAUGCAAGUCGAGCGAAUGGAUUAAGAGCUUGCUCUUAUGAAGUUAGCGGCGGACGGGUGAGUAACGCGUGGGUACCUGCCCAUAAGUCUGGGAUAACUCCGGGAGACCGGGGCUAAUACCGGAUAACAUUUUGAACCGCAUGGUUCGAAAUUGAAAGGCGGCUUCGGCUGUCACUUAUGGAUGGACCCGCGUCGCAUUAGCCAGUUGGUGAGGUAACGGCUCACCAAGGCAACGAUGCGUAGCCGACCUGAGAGGGGGAUCGGCCACACUGGGACUGAGACACGGCCCAGACUCCUACGGGAGGCAGCAGUAGGGAAUCUUCCGCAAUGGACGAAAGUCUGACGGAGCAACGCCGCGUGAGUGAUGAAGGCUUUCGGGUCGUAAAACUCUGUUGUUAGGGAAGAACAAGUGCUAGUUGAAUAAGCUGGCACCUUGACGGUACCUAACCAGAAAGCCACGGCUAACUACGUGCCAGCCGCCGCAGUAA
rnacentral:rRNA from 1 species